GUGGGGAAUAUUGCACAAUGGGGGGAACCCUGAUGCAGCGACGCCGCGUGAGGGAAGAAGGUUUUCGGAUUGUAAACCUCUGUCUUGUGGGACGAUAAUGACGGUACCACAGGAGGAAGCCAUGGCUAACUACGUGCCAGCAGCCGCGGUAAUACGUAGAUGGCGAGCGUUGUCCGGAAUUACUGGGUGUAAAGGGAGUGUAGGCGGGAUCAUAAGUUGCGUGUGAAAUGCAGGGGCUCAACCCCUGAACUGCGCGCAAAACUGUGGUUCUUGAGUGAAGUAGAGGCAGGCGGAAUUCCCGGUGUAGCGGUGGAAUGCGUAGAUAUCGGGAGGAACACCAGUGGCGAAGGCGGCCUGCUGGGCUUUUACUGACGCUGAGGCUCGAAAGCAUGGGGAGCAAACAGGAUUAGAAACCCCAGUAGUCC
rnacentral:rRNA from 1 species